ACUGCUUUCUUUUGCUUUUGUGUUAUUUAACGGUAAAAUGAUUGAAAUCCCUAAUGGUUUUUUGUUAUAUAUUCCGCAUUUUGUACAUUCGGAUAAUUUAAGAUAAUUUCGGGAAGUUAAGAGCAAUGCUAUAAUUCUGAUCUUGUUUGGUGCAUAAGUGGUUCAUAAAAUUUUUGAUGUGGAAAUAUUGAGGAAGGCUAAGUGCAAAUUUGGAAAUUUGGAAAUAGUUUUCAUGAAUUACAAAAAUUAGUCAUGAAAUAAUUAGGCUUGGAAAAAAAAAAAAAAAAGGAAACAAGCCCAAGUGUGGCCGGCCAAGGUAUGGGCCAAGGCCCACUUGGGAAUUUAAAUCCAAGUAAAUAAAAAGAGAGGGCCACUAUUAUUUUGUCAUCACAUUUCAAGAACAUUCAAGAAAAAGAAGACCUUGAGAGAAAGAGAGGAGGGCUUCGGCCAAGAGAAAAAAAGAAAGAAAAAAAAUUGAAGCCAUCAAUCUUGAUCCAAAAAAUAUAUUCUCCUUGUAUUCCUACUAAUUCAAGGGUCCUCUUUAACGUGGAAAAUUGUUGGAGCAAGAAAACUACUCUUUGUUGCAAGUCCAAAAUUCUAGUCAAGUGGGAAAUUAAGGAAAAAGAUCUUGCGAGGCCAGAGGCUUAAGUUCGGAUUAGCGUAGAAAGCGGGCAAGGUACAGACGCGCACGUGAGUGGUCCGCCAGCUUAGGCCAUCCAUUCUGCUGUGUUGAAGUGCUCCCUCGUUCCGGAGCCCACACUUUUGGGGGUUUUGUGUGUGGCUGAGUACAAUUGAUGGACGAAGGAAUCAUCCAAGUUCAUUCUCGAUCAAUGCUGAGCCUAGGAAAGAUUUGGUGUGCCCGAGUCCAUCAUAACAGACAAUGGAGCGAAUCUGAAUAGCCACCCAAUGAAGGAUAUCUGUGAGCAACUCAAGAUCACCCAUUGAAACUCAACAGCUUACCGGCCGCAAAUGAACGAAGUCGUAGAAGCAGCCAAUAAGAAUAUCAAGAGGAUAAUUGAGGAAAUGACUGAUAAUCAUAAGGGUUGGCACGAGCAAUUGCCUUAUGCCUUACUGGGAUACUGUACGACGGCCAGAACUUCAACAGGAGCAAUACCAUAUUUGUUGGUCUACGGGACUGAAGCAAUCAUACUCGCUGAAGUUGAGAUACCUUCCCUGAUAAUCAUUCAUGAAGCGAAAUUGGACAAUGUCGAAUGAGUCUGAGAUCUUUAUGAGAAAUUGGUGUUGAUUGAUGAGAAACAGAUGGUUGCUGUCUGUCACGGUCAAUUGCACUAGCAAAGGAUGGCAAGAGCCUUUAACAAACGAGUCAGAACCAGACUUUUUUAGAUCGGGCAACUGGUGCUCAAAAGGAUUUUUCCACGCCAAGAUGAAUAUAAAGGGAAUUUUUCUCCGAACUGGCAAGGGCCUUAAGUAAUCUUGCAAAGUACUCUCCAGAGGAGCAGUAGUAUUGGUAGAAAUGGACGGUCAAGAGUGGCUGAAGCCGAUUAACUUAGAUGCAAUCAAAUGCUACUAUGCGUGAAGAAUGAGCUUCAGUUUGCAAUAGUACUCUUUGCUUGGAAUCGUUAUUCCAUUUUCUUGUAUUAGUUGUUUCCUUUUGCUUGUAAUCGCUUUGUAAUAGAUAGGCUAAAACAAAACACCUUGUGCAAUGGACUGCCAAAAGAAUGACUUUUUUUGGGGAAAAACCAAAGCAGUCCUUUUUUGGAAAAUAAAUA